GCGGGGGGGGGGGCGGGGGGGGCCCCCCCCGGCGCCUCCCUCGCGGGGAGGGGGGGGGCGGCGGCUGCGGGGCCUGGCUUUGGGGGGGGGCCCGGCCCCGGUUGGGAGGGGCCUGUGGGUGCCCCUUCCCCGCCCCCGCCCCCCCCGCCCUUCCUGCCCCGGUGGCGGGGGGGGGGAGCCCCCUCCCCACCCCCUCCAGCCCCUCGAGCCCCCCGGGCCGUGGGGGAGGGGCCCCGACUGGCGCCGGCCCCCCAUGGGGCUCUAGGGAGACCCCUCCCCGCCCCCACCCUGCCCCAUGGCGGCCGCAGGGCAUGCUGGGAGUGUGGAGGGACCCCCUGCCCCCCCCCCCCACCCGCCACCAGGGCCGCAGGGCAGCUGUGGGGCGGCUCGAGGGCGGGCGGCCGGGCACGCUGCGGGUUAAAACCAGCUCUAAGAGCGGCAGAGAGGCAGGUUGGGGGUUUAAAACUGGGUCUAGGAGGGGCAGUGGGGCUGCCUCAGGGGUAAAACCAGCUCUAGGAGAUACGGAGAGGCCUGCUUGGGCGUUAAAACCAGCUCUAGGAAGCACAGAGGGGCCUGCUGGGAGGUAAAACCAGCUCUAGGAGGGGCAGCGAGGCCUGCUUGGCAUUAAAACCAGCUCUAGGAGGGGCAGAGAGGCCUGCAGGGAGUAAAACCAGCUCUAGGAGGGGCAGCGAGGCCUGCUGGGAGUUAAAACCAUCUCCAAGAGCAGCAGUGAGGCCUGCUUGGGAGUUAAAACCAGCUCUAGAAUGGGCAGAGAGGCCUGCUGGGAGUUAAAACCAGCUCUAGGAGAGGCAGCAGGACUUGCUGACCAUUAAAAACCAGCUCUAGGAGGGGCAGAGAGGCCUGCUGGGAGUUAAAACUGGCUCUAAGAGCAGCAGCAAGGCCUGCUUUGCAGUUAAAACCAGCUCUAGGAGGGGCAGAGAGGCCUGCUUGGGAGUUAAAACUGGCUCUAUGAGCAGCAGUGAAGCCUGCUUGGGAGUUAAAACCAGCUUUAGAAGUGGCAGAGAGGCCUGCUGGGAGUUAAAACUGGCUCCAGGAGGGUCAGCGAGGCCUGCUUGGGAGUUAAAACCAGCUCUGAGGGGGACAGCAGGACUUGCUGAGCAUUAAAAACUGGCUCUAGGAGGGGCAGCAAGGCCUGCUGGGAGUUAAAACCAGCUCUGAGAGGGGUAGCAGAUCCUGCUGAGCAUUAAAACUGGCUCUGGCAGUGGCAGUGAGGCCUGCUGGGAGUUAAAACUGGCUCUAGAAUGGGCAGCAAGGCCUGCUGGGUGCUAAAACCAGCUCUAUGGUGGACAGCGACACACACUGGGGAUUAAGAACAGCUCUAGGUCUGGUAGGCAUUGAGGCCUGCUGAGAGUUAAAAUGAGCUCUAGGGCUGGCAGUGAGGCCUGCUGGGAGUUAAAACCAGCUCUAGGCUUGGUAGUGAGGCCUGCUGGGAGUUAGAGCCAGCUCUAGGGCAGGCAGUAAGGUGUGCCAGGAGUUAAAACCAGCUCCGGGAGUGGCAGCAGGGUGUUCUGGGAAUUAAGAUCAGCUCUUGGGUGGGCAACUGGCCAUGCUGCAAGUUAAGAACAGCUCUAAGCUGGGCAGCAGGGCAUGCUGGGAGCUAAAACCGGCUCUAGGCGGAGCAGUGUGGCUCUAGGGGCGGCAGCAGGGCAUGCUGGGAGAUGGAGCGUGGCUGUAAGGAGGGCAGCAAAGCCUACUGGGAGUUAAGACAAGGCUUAGAAUGGGGCAGCAGGGCAUGCUGGGAGUUGUAGUGUGGCUGUAGAAGGGGGCAGCGAGGCCUGCUAGGAAUUAAAACGGCUCUAGCAGGGGCAGAGAGGCCUGCAGGGAAUUAAAACCAGCUCUAGCAGGGGCAGAGAGGCCUGCAGGAAUUAAAACCGGCUCUAGGAGGGGCAGAGAGGCCUGCUGGGAAUUAAAACCAGCUCUAGAAUGGGCAGCGAGGCCUGCUGGGAAUUAAAACCAGCUCUAGGAGGGGCAGAGAGGCCUGCUGGGAAUUAAAACCAGCUCUAGGAGGGGGCAGCGAGGCCUGCUGGGAAUUAAAACCGGCUCUAGGAGGGGCAGCGAGGCCUGCAGGGAAUUAAAACCAGCUCUAGGAGGGGCAGCGAGGCCUGCUGGGAAUUAAAACCAGCUCUACGAGGGGCAGCAGGGUAUGCUGGGAG